rnacentral:rRNA from 1 species
CCGCGUGAGGGAAGACGGCCUUAGGGUUGUAAACCUCUUUCAGCAGGGACGAAGCUUCCGGGGUUAAUAGCCUCGUGGAGUGACGGUACCUGCAGAAGAAGCCCCGGCUAACUACGUGCCAGCAGCCGCGGUAAUACGUAGGGGGCAAGCGUUGUCCGGAAUCAUUGGGCGUAAAGCGAGCGCAGGCGGCUCGGUAAGUCUGGUGUUAAAUCUUGCGGCUCAACCGCAAGGCGUCACUGGAUACUGCCGGGCUUGAGUCUGGGAGAGGGAAGUGGAAUUCCUGGUGUAGCGGUGGAAUGCGCAGAUAUCAGGAGGAACACCAAUAGCGAAGGCAGCUUCCUGGAACAUGACUGACGCUGAGGCUCGAAAGCGUGGGGAGCGAACAGGAUUAGAUACCCUGGUAGUCCACGCCGUAAACGAUGGGCGCUAGGUGUGGGAGGUGUCGACUCCUUCCGUGCCGAAGCUAACGCAUUAAGCGCCCCGCCUGGGGAGUACGGCCGCAAGGCUA